rnacentral:lncRNA from 1 species
AAAAUUUAUUAAAUUAUAUGAAUUACUUUUAUAAUACUAUAUGAUACUCGUACUUAAAAUCUUACCAUUGGAAAUAUUUUCUGAAAUUCUUUUUCCAGAAGUAGAUGUAUUUUAUGAUUGUCAUAAAUAAAAUAAAUGCUUUCCAUGGAGGCCGCCAUCUUGAAUUAGCUUGUAAGCUCGCAGACGAACUUGCUAGCUCGUCUAGCACGCCAAUUUCGCUAACUCUGACGUCAUUCAGCUCAAAAGUAAACGAUUGCUGGCACGGAGCUAGGAUAAAAGUAUACAGCUUGGGCAUGCUAUUUGCAAAAUUAGUUGAGAAGUAAAUGCAGCCAAUGUCACACCAUACUGUUGCUGUGUCAGAGCUUCCUGAAAGGUUGCUAAAUUGACUGUGAUUUUGAAAUGUUUGUAUUCUAAAAUUGUUAUGUUCCGUUCUAUUGUAACGUUUAUUGGCUUAAACGGUGUAUGUUUCCUGAUGAUGAUGGUUGG